rnacentral:rRNA from 1 species
UACAGAGGUCUCAAGCGUUGUUCGGAUUCAUUGGGCGUAAAGGGUGCGUAGGCGGCCCGGUAAGUCCGCUGUGAAAGUCGGGGGCUCAACCCUCGGAUGCCGGUGGAUACUGUCGGGCUAGAGUGCGGGAGAGGCGAGUGGAAUUCCGUGGUGACUAGCGGUGAAAUGCGCAGGAUAUCAGGAGGACACCAAUUGGCGUAAGGCAGCUCGCUGGGACGUACUGA